rnacentral:rRNA from 1 species
UGCCAGCAGCCGCGGUAAUACAUAGGGGUCAAGCGUUGUCCGGAUUUACUGGGCUUAAAGAGUUCGUAGGUGGUUGAAAAAGUUAGUGGUGAAAUCCCAGAGCUUAACUCUGGAACGGCCAUUAAAACUUUUCAGCUAGAGUAUGAUAGAGGAAAGCAGAAUUUCUAGUGUAGAGGUGAAAUUCGUAGAUAUUAGAAAGAAUACCAAUUGCGAAGGCAGCUUUCUGGAUCAUUACUGACACUGAGGAACGAAAGCAUGGGUAGCGAAGAGGAUUAGAUA